rnacentral:tRNA from 1 species
UGGGUUGUGGCUCAGCGGUAGAGUGCUUGCCUUGCACGCACGGGGCCCUGGGUUUGAUCCUCAGUACCACAU